GACGAACCGUGCGAACGUUGUUCGGAAUCACUGGGCUUAAAGGGCGCGUAGGCGGGCUGACAAGUCUGGGGUGAAAUGCCGCGGCUCAACCGUGGAACUGCCUUAGAUGCUGUCGGCCUCGAGGAAGGUAGGGGCAUGCGGAACUGUAGGUGGAGCGGUGAAAUGCGUUGAUAUCUACAGGAACUCCGGUGGCGAAAGCGGCGUGCUGGACCUUUUCUGACGCUGAGGCGCGAAAGCUAGGGGAGCAAACGGG
rnacentral:rRNA from 1 species